GGAAACCGGGAUUAAUACCGCAUAAAAUCGUAGAAACACAUGUUUUAACGGUCAAAGAUUUAUCGGUCAUAGAUGGGCUCGCGUCUGAUUAGCUAGUUGGUGAGAUAACAGCCCACCAAGGCGACGAUCAGUAGCCGGUCUGAGAGGAUGAACGGCCACAUUGGAACUGAGACACGGUCCAA
rnacentral:rRNA from 1 species